CUAGCUGUAAACGAUGGAUACUAGGCGUUGAGAGUAUCGACCCUCUCGGUGUCGUAGCUAACGCGUUAAGUAUCCCGCCUGGGGAGUACGCGCGCAAGCGUGAAACUCAAAGGAAUUGACGGGGGCCCGCACAAGCGGUGGAGUAUGUGGUUUAAUUCGAUGCAACGCGAAGAACCUUACCAGGGCUUGACAUGUCCGGAACCCUGCCCAAAGGCGGGGGUGCCUACGGGAACCGGAACACAGGUGGUGC
rnacentral:rRNA from 1 species